UACGUAGGGGGCAAGCGUUGUCCGGAAUCAUUGGGCGUAAAGCGCGUGUAGGCGGCUCGAUAAGUCUGCUGUGAAAGUCCAAGGCUCAACCUUGGGAUGCCGGUGGAUACUGUCGAGCUCGAGUCCGGAAGAGGAGUGUGGAAUUCCUAGUGUAGCGGUGAAAUGCGCAGAUAUCAGGAGGAACACCAAUGGCGAAGGCAGCACUCUGGGACGUGACUGACGCUGAGACGCGAAAGCGUGGGGAGCAAACAGG
rnacentral:rRNA from 1 species